GAGAAAAUGGUAGAGCCUUCCGUCUCGUUUGUCUUUUAGAAAGUCCACAGUGUGUUCACAAUGCUGCUUUACUCUCACAGUGGAAGGUGGUAGCAGUUAUACUGGAGGUCUCUGCCCCAGAGGCUCUGUACCAUUUGCUGGCAGCUACACACUUUACAGCUGUGUCUAAACUCAGAAAGAGGCCCAGCAGAUCCGUAUGGGCAGAUUGAGUACUAAGACUCACGUUAGCAGGAAACUUGGAUUCAACACUCUUUCCAGUAGUAGCCAGGAAAGGUUAUCUGGGUUAGGGUUUUUGUUGUUUGUAUUUAGUAGGUUUUUGUUUUGUUUUGUUUUGUUUAACCUCUGUGCUGUUUACAUAAACAAAUUGCUAUCCUUUUCUAAGGAGCCAGGGGUGGCUGGUUAGCUCAGCUGGUCAGGGCAUGGUGCUGAUAUGAGGAGCCAGGGUCUGGAGGUGUUGUCACUUUAUCUGACCUGAGUACUUCCCUGAGUGAGCCCUGCCUGUCCCUUUCACUGGCUGAUAGCGGGAAGCCAGCAGGAGGCUGUGCUGCACAGAGAACUCCUUCCCUUCUAGCGUUACUGCAUAGCGUGCCUAGAAAUCAUCAGUUUUUAAACUCUUAACAAAGAAGCUAUUUUUUUUUAAGGAAAUUAUUUCUCUAUUUAGAGAAUUCACCUUGGAUGUAUUCAUAUACAUGGAGUUUGUCCACUGACUCAGGCAUUUGUCCUAAAUAUCCGUUUUCAAAACUAGGUAUCAUUGGGGGUAGGGGCUGGGUGCAGCUCGGUGACAAAGCACACGGGGCACGUGCAAGGCUCUGGGUUUGGUCUCCAGCACUGUAACAGCCACAGGAAGACAAGUUAUCAUGUAGAAAUGUGGAAUUACUGUGAAGGCCUUUCUAAGUAACAGUCUCGACUUUUGCCAUGGUCACCAUAGCCAAGAAAUGUCCAAAGCAGGUGAGUUGCCACAAUUUUGGUAAUUAGUCACUUUUUCUUGUGUUCCAUGAGGUAAAAGCAGGACUCUCCAGGCUGAUCUGAGUAGCCUACGUUACAGAUCUGGGAAUUGUACAGUCGUAACUACUACUAUGAAGCAGGCAGCUAGCACUGGAAAACCCUCAAAGUGAUCCCGAAUUUUCCUAAGGUCCUUUUCUAUGGUAUUGCUUUAUUAAAUAAAUCAGGCCUUGUACUUUGACAGAAUAACACCUGAUUUCUUGCAAAGGUAAGAGGUGCAUUGGGCUCCAGGAGUAGCCCAGAAGUCCAACCCCAGACCUUAUAAAGACUCUGAACCCUCCCCCACCCUCCAUGCCAGCGUUGGAUAAGGCUGGCUGUGACUCUCCUGCCAGAGUUAUUCCUGUAGGCUGCUAGGGUAGGCCUUCGCCUGCCCUCGCCCUUCCCGGGCUAGGCUUCAGAGUCCUCCUUGUCACCCUUCCUGCCUCACUGACAGCUGCUCUUUUACAGAGAAGGCAUCAAGUCCAAGUUCUGCUGUAGCCACUGAUUGAGUCUUCGCUGCAGUGUGGCCCUGUGUUGGGGCACGUGUGACGGGGUCAUGGGAGAGGUACACGGAGUCUGCGGGAGCUCCGGUGGUGGUGAAAGAUGGCUGUCACCACAGUGCCAGGCCCUGACAGUAUUCCAGGUCUCUCUGCAGCUUAGAGAAUCAGAGGUGACAGACCAGGUUUUUCUCACGGUUGCAGGGUCCCCAUUGUGGCAGGCAACUCCCACAGCAGAUGGCUGGGCCCUAGGAGGAGUAUCAGAAAGAUUCCUUAGGUAGCUCCUCUCUUCUGAGGGUGCGCCUUUCCCUCCCUCCUCCCUGGCUUUGCUAUUGAUUUGAAAUGACAGAGAAUGUUCCUCAGAGCCGUGAGGUCCAGCUGCAGUAUUUCUCUUCCUUUCUGCCCCAGCUUAGCCCACUCACUGUCUUCUCUUGGUUGAAUUCUCUGCAGGACAGGCUCUUUUGUUCUCAUCCUCAGGCUCAUAGUCUUCUUAAAGAAUUAUAUGUUCCUGGUAUAGAGUCUCAGAAAUCAGCAUUGAGCUUUUCUUUGAGCAGUUUAGUAAGCAAAUUCAGCAGCAAAGUGGC
rnacentral:lncRNA from 1 species